rnacentral:rRNA from 1 species
GUCGAGCGAACAGACGAGGAGCUUGCUCCUCUGACGUUAGCGGCGGACGGGUGAGUAACACGUGGAUAACCUACCUAUAAGACUGGGAUAACUUCGGGAAACCGGAGCUAAUACCGGAUAAUAUAUUGAACCGCAUGGUUCAAAAGUGAAAGACGGUUUUGCUGUCACUUAUAGAUGGAUCCGCGCCGCAUUAGCUAGUUGGUAAGGUAACAGCUUACCAAGGCAACGAUGCGUAGCCGACCUGAGAGGGUGAUCGGCCACACUGGAACUGAGACACGGUCCAGAUUCCUACGGGAGGCAGCAGUAGGGAAUCUUCCGCAAUGGGCGAAAGCCUGACGGAGCAACGCCGCGUGAGUGAUGAAGGUCUUCGGAUCGUAAAACUCUGUUAUUAGGGAAGAACAAAUGUGUAAGUAACUAUGCACGUCUUGACG